CCUACGGGAGGCAGCAGUAGGGAAUCUUCCACAAUGGGCGAAAGCCUGAUGGAGCAACGCCGCGUGGGUGACGAAGGUCUUCAGAUCGUAAAACCCUGUUGUUCGAGAAGAAAGUGCGUGAGAGUAACUGUUCACGUUUCGACGGUAUCUAACCAGAAAGCCACGGCUAACUACGUGCCAGCCGCCGCGGUAAUACGUAGGUGGCAAGCGUUAUCCGGAUUUAUUGGGCGUAAAGGGAACGCAGGCGGUCUUUUAAGUCUGAUGUGAAAGCCUUCGGCUUAACCGGAGUAGUGCAUUGGAAACUGGGAGACUUGAGUGCAGAAGAGGAGAGUGGAACUCCAUGUGUAGCGGUGAAAUGCGUAGAUAUCAGGAGGAACACCGGCGGCGAAGGCGGCUUACUGGACUGUAACUGACGUUGAGGCUCGAAGGCGUGGGGAGCAAACAGGAUUAGAUACCCUAGUAGUC
rnacentral:rRNA from 1 species